CGAACAGGGAGCGGAGAGGGAGAAGGAGCAUUCACUGGUUAGGGUUUUGGAAGAGGAAGACAUGGAUGAGUACGAUAGUGGUGGCCGUAGUGCCGAUAAGGCUCCGGGAGCUGCUAACGAAGGCACGGCAGGUCCUAUUCUGUACAGGUCAUGGAUAUGCUUGGUCCUAGUUUGUGGGAUGUUUGGAAUAACAACUCACACAUGAUGUCAACUGAAAUGGUUGCAUGUAUUGCAAUUGAGGCCAUCUCCAUAUUAGAGAAGAUGCAUUCUAGAGGCAACUCGGUGGCAUGAUAGUUCGACUGGCCUUCAUGUUGACUAUGAUCAACGACCAAAUGUUUUUAGGUA